rnacentral:rRNA from 1 species
UACAGGGGGUGCAAACGUUGCUCGGAAUCAUUGGGCGUAAAGCGCACGUAGGCGGUUCGUUAUGUCGGAUGUGAAAGCCCUUGGCUUAACCGAGGAAGUGCAUCCGAAACUGGCGAGCUAGAGUACGAAAGAGGAUCGCGGAAUUCCCGGUGUAGAGGUGAAAUUCGUAGAUAUCGGGAAGAACACCUGAGGCGAAGGCGGCUAUCUGGCGAUGCAUUGACGCUGAGGCGCGAAAGCGUGGGGAGCAAACAGG